GGGGAUCUCCCCAUGCAGUUCAGGCUGGCCUUGAGCUCACUUUGUAGCCCAGGCUGGUCUCCAACUCACAACAAUCCUCCCACCUCAGCCUCCUGAGUGCUGGGAUUACAGGUGUGAGCCACCACGCCCGGCUAUUUGCUGGGCUACUGAGAAGUGGACAGAUGAAAUUGUGAGGACUGACUCCGGCAGCCGCCCACCCUGGGCAGCCCAGGCAUUGGUACGGGGGCCCCAGGAGAAAGUGGGGGCCUGGCUAUCACUGACCCCUCUAACUUUAUCUUAUUUAUUCUGAGACAAGAUCUUGCUCUGUAGACCAGCCUGGCCUCCAAUUCAUGGUCAGACUCCUGCCUCAGCCUCCUGAGUGCCGAGAAAGACAGGUGGGUCACCACACCCAGCAAAUCCCGACAGUCCAGUUCCUCCAGAUGGUCCUGACCUCUGUGUCCUCCCUCCAGCCAGGCAGCCAGCAGAACAGCCUCCAUGCUCCCCAUGCAGUCUCCUGGGGUCUACGCUCUGCUCCCCUCAUCCCAGGCUCCCGCACCUCUCUUCUCAGCCCUCACCAGGGCAGCAGGAGCGGCAGUGCCAAUGCAGGUGACGAGAGCAGUGUGAAGACAGGACAUCAGGGGUCUCGAUGCCUUUGGAUGGGAAGCUGAGACGGGAAGCUUCCUGCUGCUGCCAGGGAGGAGCCAUUGCUCAGGUCUAGCUGCCAGGUUUGGCUCAUAAAAACUCUGGCGCCCUCUAAACCGCAGUCUCAGGAAAUCCCGGCCACUGUACCCGCAGGUGUCAGCUGAGCCCAUCUGAAAGCCCUCAGGGUGCUCCCAGAGCGCUAUGAAUGCAGGGAACAGGGCCCCAGGUGGGGCGCCUGCAGCAGAUGGUGGGGGUCAGGACAGGCCAGGACUUCGCCCCAGCCCCCGCACGGUGUCCCCGAACCCUGCCAGAGGCCGCCCCGGCUCCGAGUGCGGGGCCGGGACGCUGCUCUCUGUUAAUUAAACAGCGCACCAAAAAAAAAAAAAAAAAAAAGUGAGACGCUGAGAGACCGUGAGCCCGGAGCACGCGCCCCGGGCUCUCCAACGGAGAAUAGCUCACUUCCCCCGCCGCACCGAAAAUA
rnacentral:lncRNA from 1 species